ensembl:lncRNA
CAAAAUUUCCUGGCUAGGGCAUAUCGGGGAAUUGUAUGCAACGUUUCCAAGCUCUCCUUGUUCUCUAAUACAACCUAAUACAUCUUUUAUGAUUUCAGAAGAACAGGCAACCACGCAGAAUUCAGGGGCACCACAGUCCAAGAGAUCAAGGAAGUCUUUUCCCAAAUGGAAUCCAGGGAAUGGCUUGAGGAAACCCCAGAAUGACAAGACCUUCAGGUCCAUUGUGGAAGAGGCAGAGGCAAGUCUUCAGCAAAGUCCUGCUACACCUUCUGGCCGAAGAGAAAGUCACCCUGUCAGCAUCCUGGUCAAGUCCUGCCCUUCGGAGGCAACGUCUCCACAGUCUUCCUGUCUCUUCCAGGCAACCUCUGCUUUCCAAACAAUCUAUGCAGCUGGAAUAUCCCAGAGAGGGGCAACAAGGCCAAGCCAAGGGAGCAGAGAUAGUGCUACCAUAGCAACAAGAAGGAAAUCAGAUGAUCUCGUAACACAAUGCCAGAAACACAUCUUUAUCAACAGGGAAGAGAAGAUGGAGCAACUGGAACGCAUGGUCCUGGGUCUCCGUCAAGAAGUCCUCUCCUUGAAACAGAAAGUUCAGCGCCUAGAAGCUGCCUCUUUUAAGGAACCAGAACUUGGUUGCCAACCCUGUGAGGUGCCUGAACAUUUCAACGGGUACACCAAGGAACAACUCAAAGAGGCCAUUCGGUUUGACCAGAAAAUCAGCACGGCAAGUGUCAAAUUUUAUCUUCCUGGGCUCCAUGAGCACUGCAGAUGGAGACAGCAGCCCUGAAAUUAAAAGGCGCCUUCUUCUUGGGAGGAAAGCGAUGACAAAUCUGGACAGCAUGUUGAAAAGCAGAGACAUCACCUUGCCAACAAAAGUCCGAAUAGUCAAAGCUAUGGUUUUUCCUGUCGUGAUGUAUGGAAGUGAGAGCUGGACCAUAAAGAAAGCAGACCGCCGAAGAAUUGAUGCCUUUGAAUUGUGGUGCUGGAGGAGGCUCUUGAGAAUCCCCUGGACUGCAAGGAGAACAAACCUAUCAGUUCUAAAGGAAAUCAACCCUGAGUGCUCACUGGAAGGACAGAUCCUGAAGCUGAGGCUCCAGUACUUUGGCCAUCUCAUGAGAAGAAAAGAGUCCUUGGAAAAAACCUUGAUGUUAGGAAGGUGUGAUGGCAAGAGGAGAAGGGGACGACCAAGGAUGAGAUGGCUGGACAGUGUCUGCGAAGCAACCAACAUGAACCUGACACAACUCCGGGAGGCAGUAGAAGACAGGAGGGCCUGGCGUGCUCUGGUCCAUGGGGUCACGAAGAGUCGGACACGACUAAACGACUAAACACACAGGAGACCCCGAUGGUCUCUGCCACUCAAUCACAACGAAAACCAUGUGUAGUUCAGUCAAAGGCAGGAGGGAGAGUAAGGUGCGGUAAAUCCCUUAAACUGGCUAGCCUGUUUUCUCAGGUGCGUUAAAUGGUGAAAUCAGAAGCCAAAAGACGGAGGCAAUUCAUGGACUGAGCAGCAGGCACCUCACAUCAGAAUGGCAAGGUCUGUCCAAUCUGGCCUGCUCGUGUUCACCCCAUUGGUGAGCACUUGGCGCGAUGUAGAUACUGGCCAAAUUAGAACUGCUGAACCGUAGGCAGAGGGGGUGUACAUACGUAGCUGGGGAAAGCUCAUUUCUGAGACUAGCGCUUCCAAAAUGUCUCAGCCAGUAUGCGGUUGCACCUCUGUGUGAGCGGGGUCCAUAUUAUGCAUAAGGCAGCUGAGGCUGAAGCCUAGGGGCUCCAUGGGGACUAGGGGCCCAUCAAUUAUUUUGCUGAGGCAGAAGAUUGAAGUGCUGGAGGAGGUUCAAAAUACAGUACCUGGAAGCCUAGUUAAUACAGCCCUGGCAGGAUCACUGGGAUGAGCGACAGACACAGUGGACUAAGACCAGUGAUAUGACCCUGCUUGGCCUUCUGCAUGGGAUUACCUGUCACUGCUCCUGGACUCCGGAAUGCCUUUGGUAAGGCAGCGUGGCUGUGGGAUUGCUUUGAUCGCCGCAGGGCACAGCAAGAGGAGGGAAAGCAAAAAAAAAUUAUAAAUAAAUUAAAAAAUGACCUGAUGAAUGACGAAUUG